UUGAUGUAGCAGCAACAGCUAAUGCCAGUAAUAAAUGGGUUUUGACGCAGCAGCAGCAGCAGCAGCAGCAGCAGCAGCAGCAGCAGCAGCAGCAGCAGCAGCAGCAGCAGCAGCAGCUAGCCAGUGC
ensembl:miRNA Gm44372 predicted gene, 44372